rnacentral:tmRNA from 1 species
GGGGGCGAACUGGAUUCGACCGGAUGCUCGGAAGCGAAAGUGGCGUGCCGUGGUUGAUCAGUUGGCCACGUUAAAAGCUGAUCACAAAUUUUACAUGCCGAGAGCAAUCUCGCACUGGCUGCCUAACUAGUGUAGCCACUGACUGCGGGACUUCGCCGGAGAGGCCCAAAAGUCAGUCGCCAAAUCCGGCUCGCCGCGGGCCACGUGGGGUACGCCCGCGGUUCAACUUUGUUCCCCUCUAGCCGUCCCUGAAGUCGGCUGCCGGACGCCAGGGCGGUGAAUGCAAAGCCGCAGCUACGCACGUAGAAGCUUUCGUGGACAGAUCGCGGGACGCGGGUUCAAUUCCCGCCGCCUCCACUG